UACGUAGGGUCCGAGCGUUGUCCGGAAUUAUUGGGCGUAAAGAGCUCGUAGGCGGUUUGUCGCGUCGGCUGUGAAAACCUGGGGCUCAACCUCGGGCCUGCAGUGGGUACGGGCAGACUAGAGUGCGGUAGGGGAGAUUGGAAUUCCUGGUGUAGCGGUGGAAUGCGCAGAUAUCAGGAGGAACACCAAUGGCGAAGGCAGAUCUCUGGGCCGUAACUGACGCUGAGGAGCGAAAGCAUGGGGAGCGAACAGG
rnacentral:rRNA from 1 species